GGGGAAUAUUGCGCAAUGGGGGAAACCCUGACGCAGCAAUACCGCGUGAGUGAAGAUGGUUUUCGGAUCGUAAAGCUCUGUUAAUGGGGAUGAAUAAAAUACGGUAACCAAGAUAAAAGUCCCGGCUAACCACGUUCCAGCAGCCGCGGUAAUACGUAGGGGACAAGCGUUGUCCGGGAUUAACUGGGCGUAAAGGGCACGCAGGCGGUUUUUUAAGUCAGAUGUGAAAGGUACCGGCUCAACCGGUAACAUGCUUUGAAACUGAAAGACUGGAGUAUUGGAGAGGCAAGUGGAAUUCCUAGUGUAGCGGUGAAAUGCGUAGAUAUUAGGAGGAACACCGGUGGCGAAGGCGGCUCGCUGGACAAAUACUGACGCUGAGGUGCGAAAGCGUGGGGAGCAAACA
rnacentral:rRNA from 1 species